CUUGUAAGUCAGCUUUGCAGAUAAUCACAUGCCUCAGGCUUGGAAAAAAUUGAUGGCAGAUCAAUGGUCAGGAACAUGAACUGUACUCAUUUUUGACUGUGCAGUGCCCAGUGUUGGCUGAGAGUAUCAAGAUGUGGAUGAGAGGUGAGGUGACUGGGACACUACUUUGGAGUGGGCUGGUAAGGUCGUGGCAUUAUCUGCAAGUGAUAUGAGAUUGAGGAGGGAAUCCAUCACAUCAUGUAGGAGUCAUUGUUUCUCUAAGGCCACUGACUUACCUUCCAAGGCAUCAUGAAGUCAAGGCAGGAAAAAAGAGAGAAAUGGUAUCUGCAAGCUCUUCUUUCACUCCCUUCCCCUUUGUGAGGAAGCGAAAGCCUCCCUGAAGCCUCCCUGCAGACAUUUGCUCAUCUUUCAUUGGCAAGACUGGGUGAAAUGCCUGUCUCUCACUGACAGUAAUAGGUUAUGGAGGCGGUUCCUUGCCAAUAAAUGCAGGUGGUAGAACUGUGAAUGAUAUUUACUCUUACUCUGCUACUUUUCUAAUAAGAAGAAAGCUAUUAUAAUAUUUCAAACACAAAAAAACUGGAAAGAGAAACAUCGUUUGGGAAUGGUCUUCAUUUUGUGACUUGGACAAGGAUCUCUUCUAAUG
rnacentral:lncRNA from 13 species